UGGAGACCCUCUACUAGGGCAGUGCAGAGGGGGAAAUGUGGGACUGGAACCCUCACAGAGAGUCUCCACUAGGGCACUGCCUAAUGGAGCUGUGGGAAGAGGGCCAUCAUCCUCCAGACCCCACAAGGGUAGAUCCACUGACAGCUUGCACUGUGUGCCUGCAAAAGUUGCAGGCACUCAAUGCCAGCCCAUUAAAGCAGCUGUGGGGGCUGUAUCCUGCAGAGCCAUGGGGCAGAGCUGCCAAAGGCCUUAGGAGGCCACCCCUUGCAUCAGCGUGCCCUGGAUGUGAGACAUGGAAUCAAAGGAUAUGGGAGCUUGAAGAUUUCAUGACUUCCCUGUUGGGUUUCAGACUUGCAUGGGGCCUGUAGCCCAUUUGUUUUGGCUAUUUCUCCCAUUUGCAACAGGAACAUUUACCCAUUCCCUGUACUCUCAUUGUACCUUGGAAGAAACUAACUUGUUUUUUAUUUUACAGGCUCAUAGGUGGAAUGGACUUGCCUUGUCUCAGAUAAGACUUUGGACUUUUCAGUUAAUGCUGGAAGGAGUUAAGACUUUGGGGGACUGUUGGGAAGGCAUGAUUGUGUCUUGACAUGUGAGAAUAAUAUGAGAUUUGGGAGAGGCUGGGGAGAAUGAUAUGGUUUGGCUCUGUACCCCCAUCCAAAUCUCAUGUUGAAUUGUAAUUCCCAGUGUUGGGAGGGGACCUGGUAGGAGGUGAUUGGAUCAUGGGAGCAAAUUUCCCCUUGCUGCUCUCGUGAUAGUGAGUUCUCACAAGAUCUGAUGGUUUAAAAGUGUGUGGCACAUUCCCCUUCACAUGCUGUUUCUCCUGUCACUAUGUGAAGAUGUGCUUGCUUCCCCUUUGCCUUCUACCAUGACUGUAAGAUUCCUGAGGCCUCCCC
rnacentral:lncRNA from 10 species